rnacentral:rRNA from 1 species
UACGUAGGGUGCGAGCGUUAAUCGGAAUUACUGGGCGUAAAGCGUGCGCAGGCGGUGAUGUAAGACAGAUGUGAAAUCCCCGGGCUCAACCUGGGAACUGCAUUUGUGACUGCAUCGCUGGAGUGCGGCAGAGGGGGAUGGAAUUCCGCGUGUAGCAGUGAAAUGCGUAGAUAUGCGGAGGAACACCGAUGGCGAAGGCAAUCCCCUGGGCCUGUACUGACGCUCAUGCACGAAAGCGUGGGGAGCGAACAGG